rnacentral:rRNA from 1 species
CACCGCCCGUCACAUCAUGAAAGCCGAUUGCACCCGAAAUAGCCGAUUCAACCCGCAAGGGAGAUAGGUUCCUAAGGUGUGGUUGGUGAUUGGGAUG